UGUGCAUGCAUUGCACUUGUGCCCAGCUCUGUGAGGUGUAGGGUGAUCUCUGCACCACCCUCUGGUUCAUGCCUCACUGGGAUUCACCCAUAGUGGCCUCCUGGGUGAAUCCCUCCUGGGGCUGGAAAUAAAAAGAAGGCAAAGGGAUAAAGACAUGCUCAAAGCCUUUUCUGAGUUCCUGGAGGUGGUUGGUUGUGUGUGUGGCAGCUGGUCUCUGGGAGAAUAACAGCAAGGCUGAAAACACAGAUAGUGCUUGACUGGGGCUGGGCAAGGUAUUGAAGUGGGACAAGGCAAAGGUUGCUGGCACUUCUUGUCUCCUCGAAAAAUAAAGGGAUGGUGGCUCUGUGCCAAAACCCCCAAGAAGCCUUCUCCAUAUCCAGACCAGGUGCAAAUGCAGGGUCAUGGGGGAGCAGACCUCGGUAAUGUCUGGGGGUUAAACUUCUGAGUGCGUUUUGCUAGGUACCUAAAUCAUAGUAAUGGUACCUCGGGUCUCUGAAGGGUUUGAGUCCAGGCCAGUUAGAGGUUUCAUGACCAACUUCUGCACAGUCUAACCAGUAAGACAGGAUGGAAAGUUAUGCCUGGUGUCCUGUGGGAUUACUUCUGACCUGCAAGAACAGGAUUGCACAGAAACAGCCAAUUUCUGUUUGCAGCAAGUUUUAGUGAAGUAGAAACUUUUUGCAGAAUGUUCUUCAGCCUUUGCUGCUGCUGUUGUAUCAACCAACACUCACAUCCUGGCAUCUCUGAAUGCAGACAGUCCAGUGAGGAAAAGGAUACGACUGAAAUCCCAAGGUGAAAAGUAACUACAAGCUCCUGGGCACCAGAAAGCUGUGAAUCACACAAAUGUGUGAUCUUGCAGCUUUAAUAAAAGCGUGACUUCCUCCAAAAUCAUUCUGCUUUUUAUUUCCAUGCAGUGGGAAAACA